GAAAUGCGAUAAGUAGUGUGAAUUGCAGAAUUCAGUGAAUCAUCGAAUCUUUGAACGCACAUUGCGCCCCUUGGUAUUCCAUGGGGCAUGCCUGUUCGAGCGUCAUUUGUACCCUCAAGCUCUGCUUGGUGUUGGGUGUUUGUCCCCGUCUCCGCGCGUGGACUCGCCCCAAAGUGAUUGGCAGCCGGCGUACUGGUCCCGGAGCGCAGCACAUGUCGCGCAAACGAGUGCCUUGGUACGGCGGCGUCCAUAAGCCCCUCUCUCACGCUCUUGACCUCAGAUCAGGUAGGGAUACCCGCUGAACUUAAGC
rnacentral:misc_RNA from 1 species